AAUAUGAUAGCAGAAUACACAUGUGAAAUGUUUUGAGGUUAUACAUAAUUGAAUUAAGAAAUAUUAAUAAUUUUAGAAUUUUCUCGUGAAAUGUAGCUAUUGUAAACAAACCUGUUUAAAUAAAAAAGCUGCCCAACAUUUAUGUAUUCGAGAAUUUGACGAAUUUUUUGUUGAUCCAGAUACAUAUGAAUUUUGGGCAUACGAUGGUAAUAAAAUUGUUUCUGAAUUAUCUGACGAGCAUUUUGCUCAAUUAGAAAAUAUUGCUAAUAAGGAAAAUGCCAGUAUUAAUAUCAACCAAAGUAUCUCCAAUAAAAAAGUAAAAACAUCCAAAAAAACCAAGGCUCCUCUUAAUGUUGUUCAAUUAAAACUUGACCAAGAAGAGCAACUGAUUUUUGAAGUUAUGAACAGGAUACUUCUGUGGGAUUUUACAAUCCCAUUAAAAGGAGCAAAAUCAUAAAAACCAAACUAUGGUUAGAAGUAUCUGACUCACUUAAAGGUGCUUUUACCCCAGAUGGUGCUAAAAAAAAGUUUAAGGCAUUAACUGACACAUUUAGAAAAAUCAUUCGGGAUGAGCAAUGUCCAAGUGGUUCCGCUCGCAAAAAUAAUGGCAAUAAAUGGGCUCAUUACGAUUCCAUGCAAUUUUUGAGAGAUCAUUUCACUCCAAGAGAAUCUGCAACAAAUUGCGAAUCUGAGGAAAAUGAUUCUGAUGACAUUAAUUUAUCUAGUUAUGAAGUUGAUAAUGACAGUGUAAAAAAAACAGCAGAAGGAUUACACGUAAAAGGAAAAAUAUUGGUGAUAAGGACGAUCUAAGUUCAUCUAUUGAUAAAGUAGCAGAAGCUAUAAGUAAUUCAGGUUCAAGCAGAGACAUAGUUUUGCCACCACCCCCUGAGCUUACAGAAAUAGAUUACUGUUUAAAUAUAAUAGGCAGUCAAUUGAAGAAAAUUCCAGAAGAAAUGCAAUCAGAUGCAAUCCACAAAAUGUUGCUGUUAUCUUACGAUGUUGUUCAAGAAUAUAACAAUUAAU